rnacentral:rRNA from 1 species
AUUGAACGCUGGCGGCAUGCUUUAUACAUGCAAGUCGUGCGGCAGCGCGGGGGCAACUCUGGCGGCGAGCGGCGAACGGGUGAGUAAUACAUAGGAACGUAUCCUGAAAUGGGGGAUAGCUCGGCGAAAGCCGGAUUAAUACCGCAUACGCUCCACGGAGGAAAGCAGGGGGUCGCAAGACCUUGCGUUUCUGGAGCGGCCUAUGUCUGAUUAGCUAGUGGCGGGGUAAUAGCCCACCAAGGCGACGAUCAGUAGCUGGUCUGAGAGGAUGAUCAGCCACACUGGGACUGAGACACGGCCCAGACUCCUACGGGAGGCAGCAGUAGGGAAUUUUGGACAAUGGGGCAACCCUGAUCCAGCCAUGCCGCGUGAGGGAUGACGGCC